rnacentral:rRNA from 1 species
AUUGAACGCUGGCGGCAUGCCUUACACAUGCAAGUCGAACGGCAGCACGGGUGCUUGCACCUGGUGGCGAGUGGCGAACGGGUGAGUAAUACAUCGGAACAUGUCCUGUAGUGGGGGAUAGCCCGGCGAAAGCCGGAUUAAUACCGCAUACGAUCUACGGAUGAAAGCGGGGGACCUUCGGGCCUCGCGCUAUAGGGUUGGCCGAUGGCUGAUUAGCUAGUUGGUGGGGUAAAGGCCUACCAAGGCGACGAUCAGUAGCUGGUCUGAGAGGACGACCAGCCACCCUGGGACUGAGACACGGCCCAGACACCGACGGGAGGCAGCAGUGGGGACUUUUGGGCGAUGGGCGAGAGCCUGAUCCAGCAAUGCCGCGUGUGUGAAGAUGGCCUUCUGGUUGUAAAGCACUUUUGUCCGGAAAGAAAUCCUUGGCCCUAAUACGGUCGGGGGAUGACGGUACCGGAAGAAUAAGCUCCGGCUAACUACGUG